rnacentral:ncRNA from 1 species
CCAGGGGAAUCCGACUGUCUAAUUAAAACAAAGCAUUGCGAUGGCCGCAAGUCAGUGCUGACGCAAUGUGAUUUCUGCCCAGUG